GGAGGCAUGGUUCAAGUUAUAGAGCACUUGCUUACCAAGCAUGAUGCCUUGAGUUCAAACUCUAAUACCACCA
rnacentral:tRNA from 1 species